rnacentral:lncRNA from 1 species
AACAUCUUUAAGAAAGAUAAAUAAUUAAGAACAUGAACUUUUUUACACAGGCCAACAUUUGUAACUGACUAGCGUUGAGGAUUUUGGAGCAACAAGAGCUCUGUAAAACAGAUGUCCAAAAAAGACUGCCUCUGCAAAGUGAAACCUCUCUCUGUUGUCUACUUUUGGGUUGAAAGUCUCAAUCACUUGGUCAGGUGUCACACAAGCUUCACAGGUAAGAUGUACACUAAUCCAGCUCUGUCAUUCCUUCUUAAGAACCUUAGUUCCAGUGCCUCCUGCUCUCGGUUAUUAACAAAUCCGACAAACUGCCUGAAUGAUUUGUUUGCCUUGAAUUGGACCAAGACACAGUCUCCAGUUUUGAUGUUCUUUGCAGCUGUUGACUGAUGCUCACAGGACUGGUGUUCGGGACUUUCAGCAGAUGUGAUUUCCGAGAGCAGAAAUGUAUGGACACCGGACUGUUCUGCCUCGGAGUAGAUUUUGUGACGCACUUUUCCCCAGGAGACUGGCUCCAUGUGAUGUACUGAUUGAGUGCCUGGAACAGCUGAGGAAAUGGCCCAUCUCUCAUUUAGCUUAUGAUGCUGUAUAAAAUCUGCGAUUUCGUUGGAUGUAAUGAGUUUGAUGUUGAUGUUUGGGCAACUCUUCCUUGCAGAAGCUACAAAUGAAGCAGCAUCUGUCACAAGGACUGCCUGUCUGCUGAGGACAUCAGUGUUAACUGCACGCUUCACUGUUGCUCCUACACCGUCCACUGCACCUUUGCCGUGGCUUGUGGCAAAGAAGUGCCACUGUACUCUUAAAGCUGGAAACAGCUCCUUGAAUGUAGUUGACAUGAAACACCAGAUGAACUUGUUCUUAAACUGAGAAGCAGCUCCAUCACUAAAUAUGUUAAUCUCUUUCAUUGCAGGAUGUUUCAUUUUAAUGUCCUCCACAAUCUUGGAGAGGAAGGUUGCCACAGACCUCUUGUGGUGUUCCAGGCUGUCACUCACUAUGGCAUAUGACUCAGGAUCUCCAUCAGACCACAGGACUGAGGAAAACACUGUGACCUGCUUCUGAUGCCAGU